CUAUGUAGACCUUCAUCAGCA
rnacentral:miRNA from 1 species